rnacentral:rRNA from 1 species
AUUGAACGCUGGCGGCAGGCCUAACACAUGCAAGUCGAGCGGAGCGGCGGACGGGUGAGUAAUGCCUAGGAAUCUGCCUGGUAGUGGGGGAUAACGACCGGAAACGGGCGCUAAUACCGCAUACUAUCAGAUGAGCCUAGGUCGGAUUAGCUAGUUGGGGGGGAAAGGGCAGACAAAGGCGACGAUCCGUAACUGGUGUGCAAGGAUGAUGAGUCACACUGGAACUGAGACACGGUCCAGCUUCCUACGGGAGGCAGCAGUGGGGAUGAUUGGACAAUGGGCGAAAGCCUGAUCCAGCCAUGCCGCGUGAGUGAAGAAGGUCUUCGGAUUGUAAAGCACUUUAAGUUGGGAGGCGUUACCAACAGAAUAAGCACCGGCUAACUUCGUGCCAGCCGCCGCGGUAAUUC